rnacentral:rRNA from 1 species
AGUGAACGCUGGCGGUAGGCCUAACACAUGCAAGUCGAACGGCAGCACAGAGGAGCUUGCUCCUUGGGUGGCGAGUGGCGGACGGGUGAGGAAUACAUCGGAAUCUACUCUGUCGUGGGGGAUAACGUAGGGAAACUUACGCUAAUACCGCAUACGACCUACGGGUGAAAGCAGGGGAUCUUCGGACCUUGCGCGAUUGAAUGAGCCGAUGUCGGAUUAGCUAGUUGGCGGGGUAAAGGCCCACCAAGGCGACGAUCCGUAGCUGGUCUGAGAGGAUAAUCAGCCACACUGGAACUGAGACACGGGCCAAACUCCUACGGGAGGCAGCAGUGGGGAAUAUUGGACAAUGGGCGCAAGCCUGAUCCAGCCAUACCGCGUGGGUGAAGAAGGCCUUCGGGUUGUAAAGCCCUUUUGUUGGGAAAGAAAUCCAUCUGGUUAAUACCCGGGUGGGAUGACGGUACCCAAAGAAUAAGCACCGGCUAACUUCGUGCCAGCAGCCGCCGUAA